AGCUUUGCGCAGUGGCAAAGCUCCACUCCAGCCUGUGAGGCUUAUCCGAGGUGAGAUGAUUGCUAAUUGAAAACUCUUCCCAAAGGGGAAGGCUUCUUUUCUAAAUUGAAGUAAAAUUCUGCACAGGCUAGAUAAGGCC